rnacentral:rRNA from 1 species
GACGAACGCUGGCGGCGUGCUUAACACAUGCAAGUCGAACGGUGAAGGGAUCAGCUUGCUGGUUCUGGAUGAGUGGCGAACGGGUGAGUAACACGUGAGUAACCUGCCCCCUUCUUCUGGAUAACCGCAUGAAAGUGUGGCUAAUACGGGAUAUUCUGCGCCUGCUGCAUGGUGGGUGUGGGAAAGAUAUUGUUUCGGUGGGGGAUGGGCUCGCGGCCUAUCAGCUUGUUGGUGGGGUGAUGGCCUACCAAGGCGGUGACGGGUAGCCGGCCGGGGAGGGUGGACGGUCACAAUGGGACUGAGACACGGCCCAGACUCCUACGGGAGGGAGCAGUGGGGAAUAUUGCACAAUGGGCGCAAGCCUGAUGCAGCGACGCCGCGUGAGGGAUGGAGGCCUUCGGGUUGUGAACCUCUUUCGCAAGUGAAGCAGGCCUGUCCAUUGUGGGUGGGUUGACGGUAGCUGGAUAAGAAGCGCCGGCUAACUACGUG